CGUUGCCAGAGUAGAGGGACACUGCUGCCUCUGGUUGACCUGCCCUCUCCUGUACCUCACUCAGUGAGCUCAGAUUGACAUUCUCACCAUACUCUUCCACGGUCCUCGAGUGCAUAACUUCAUGGAUGUUUUCCUGAGAAUUCCCACACGAUACUGGAGACGACUCAAGAUUUGCAGGUUAUCUUCGAAAAGACCAGUUCUGGUGGCGCCCUCUCCAAUUCCUGUUUUCUCAGACCACAGCUCGUCUUUGAUAAGAUGCUGUGCUACUGCUACAGUCGUUGCUGCUGCUGCUGUCACUACUGCUGGUCACUCAGAGUGAGGCAGGAGACUACAGCUUCCUAACCCAUCUCGAUGCAGCCUCCGUCGCGCACCACACUGGUGUAGAAGAAUGUUAAUUUAUGUUGAGUCUGGGAGGCAGAAAGCAGUAUAUCUGGGGCACAAACUUGGGAGGUUGGGAUUUACAGGCCCUUGAGAAGCAUUUUGAAGAGUGUCGAGGCAUUUUUGAAGAGAGUCGAAGCAUUAUGAAGUGUCGAGGCAUUUUUGAAGAGCGUCGAAGCGUUGUGAAUAGUGUCGAGGCAUUUUUGAAGAACGUUGAAGUAUUUUUGAAGAGCGUCGAGGCAUUUUGAAGAGCAUAGAGGUAUUUCGAACAGUGUGGAGGCAUUGUGAAGAAUGUCGAGGCAUUUUGAAGAGCGUCGACUAAUGCUGCAGUGCUCAACCCAACCCAUCAACAUCCAUGUAUCUCAAACUGCCUUCAGAACAUAACUGUGACAUACCUAUGAUAGGUUUCAAGGGUUGUCCUGCCUCUGGCAGCUCAUCCUGGGGGCCAAGCUUCCUUGGCGAUUAGCUGUUCAACCAGGUUGUUGGUGUUAGCGGCCCGCUGACCCUUCUGGACCUGACAGUCUGGUUGAUCUCGCACUUGUGUUUUCUUUUUUACUCUCUUCCAGGUUUUAUUUCCAGAAUUAUUUUUUAUAGCGGAGUAUCUGAAAAUUGUCCUCACUGAGCAUAUUAUUUUCUUGACUUAUAGCAGCUAGGAGAGUUGCUGUGUGUAUAUAUUUGCUUGGUGAGUUGCUGUAUGUUUAUAUAAGCUUGGGGAGGGUUGCUGUGUGUUUAUAUCACAUUGGAGACUUAGUGAGUUGGAUUAUAUCAGCUUGACGACUUGAUGCGUGUUGAUAUCAGAUUGAAGAGUUGCUGUCUUGGUUUGUAUCAGCUUACGAAUAAAGAUUCGUAACUGUUGCACACGUCUUAUUUAUCAACUUGUCGUUAUUUUAUUCCAAUAUCAUUUGGUAUAUCAGUGGUAUUCAAUACUGUCUGCUAUGUAUAUUUCUACUGUCUUCAUAUUAUGUCCAUGUAAUGUACUGAUGGGGAUGGCGAAACGUCUGCAAGAUACGCAGAUGUUGCAAAUGUGUAUAAUUCAUUAUCAUUUUUACCUGUAUCUACAUUAAUAUCAACAAUGCUGUAAUCAUCCAAAUAGAAAUUAAAGCAAAUUUGAGUGCAUGUACACAUAUUUACACCUUUGUAUAUUUAAACGCACACGCACUCAGCUGCAAUACGAGAAUCACAUAGCAUCGACAGCCAAAUCUGACCCAAAGCUGUUGUACAGCCACAUCAGGAGGAAAACAAGAUUCAAGGGCCAGGUAAUCAGACUGAGAAAGGAAGGAGGACAGAUCACCAGAAACGACCAAAAAGUACGUGAAGAGCUCAACACGAGAUUUAAGCAAGUAUUUUCGGAGACAGAAAGAACUCGAGCAAACCGGAAUGGUAGAGUACAUCAGCAAGUGAUGGACACACUAUACACAAGCGACCGAGGAGAAGGUGAAGAGGCUGCCAAAUGAGCUAGAUACAUCAAAGGUGGUGGGACCGGCCAACAUCUCUGUGGGUUCUGAUGAAGGGAGCAGAGGCAACUUUGUGUUCCCCUUACAACAAUUUUCAACAUAUCUAUCGAAAAAGGGCAACUACCUAAGGUGUGGAAGACGGCAAAUGCAAUCCCAAUUUUUAAGAAAGGAGACAGGUAACAACUAGAGAGGUAUGAGCUUAUACACGACAACCAGCACGGUUUCAGAGAAGGAAAAUCCUGUGUGACAAACCUAUUGGAGUUUUACGACAAGGUGACAGAAGUAAGACAGGAGAGAGAGGGGUGGAUAGACUGCAGUUUCUUGGACUUUAAGAAGGCUUUCGGCAAAGUAUACGAAUACGGCAUAUGAGCGGAGAAGCAGCUUAUAAACCGUAUGGCAGGAGAGGUGCAGCAGUCGUAGGUGGUGUCACAUUUGCCCAAUGUGGAAGUAGGUCGUGCCCAAGGGUUAGGCAAGCGAAGUUUAGCGCUUCCCCCUUGAUUAUAAUAAUAAUAAUAAUAGGCAAGCGAAGAAUUCCCAAGUAUUAAGAUCCCAA